GAGGGGCAGCAUUUUAGUUUGCUUGCAAACUGAAGAUGGCGACCGGCGCACGGGUGAGUAACACGUAUCCAACCUGCCGAUAACUCCGGGAUAGCCUUUCGAAAGAAAGAUUAAUACCGGAUAGCAUACGAAUAUCGCAUGAUAUUUUUAUUAAAGAAUUUCGGUUAUCGAUGGGGAUGCGUUCCAUUAGUUUGUUGGCGGGGUAACGGCCCACCAAGACUACGAUGGAUAGGGGUUCUGAGAGGAAGGUCCCCCACAUUGGAACUGAGACACGGUCCAAACUCCUACGGGAGGCAGCAGUGAGGAAUAUUGGUCAAUGGGCGCGAGCCUGAACCAGCCAAGUAGCGUGAAGGAUGAAGGCUCUAUGGGUCGUAAACUUCUUUUAUAUGGGAAUAAAGUUUUCCACGUGUGGAAUUUUGUAUGUACCAUAUGAAUAAGGAUCGGCUAACUCCGUGCCAGCAGCCGCGGUAAUACGGAGGAUCCGAGCGUUAUCCGGAUUUAUUGGGUUUAAAGGGAGCGUAGGUGGAUUGUUAAGUCAGUCGUGAAAGUUUGCGGCUCAACCGUAAAAUCGCAGUUGAAACUGGCAGUCUUGAGUACAGUAGAGGUGGGCGGAAUUCGUGGUGUAGCGGUGAAAUGCUUAGAUAUCACGAAGAACUCCGAUUGCGAAGGCAGCUCACUAGACUGUCACUGACACUGAUGCUCG
rnacentral:rRNA from 1 species